rnacentral:rRNA from 1 species
GACGAACGCUGGCGGCGUGCCUAAUACAUGCCAGUAGAACGCUGAAGAGAGGAGCUUGCUCUUCUUGGAUGAGUUGCGAACGGGUGAGUAACGCGUAGGUAACCUGCCUUGUAGCGGGGGAUGACUAUUGGAAACGAUAGCUAAUACCGCAUAACAAUAGGUGACACAUGUCAUUUAUUUGAAAGGGGCAAUUGCUCCACUACAAGAUGGACCUGCGUUGUAUUAGCUAGUAGGUGAGGUAACGGCUCACCUAGGCGACGAUACAUAGCCGACCUGAGAGGGUGAUCGGCCACACUGGGACUGAGACACGGCCCAGACUCCUACGGGAGGCAGCAGUAGGGAAUCUUCGGCAAUGGGGGCAACCCUGACCGAGCAACGCCGCGUGAGUGAAGAAGGUUUUCGGAUCGUAAAGCUCUGUUGUAAGUCAAGAACGAGUGUGAGAGUGGAAAGUUCACACUGUGACGGUAGCUUACCAGAAAGGGACGGCUAACUACGUG